rnacentral:rRNA from 1 species
UACGUAGGGGGCCAGCGUUGUUCGGAAUUACUGGGUGUAAAGGGUUCGUAGGCGGUGUGGCAAGUUGGGAGUGAAAUCUCUGGGCUCAACCCAGAGACGGCUUCCAAAACUGCCGUGCUUGAGUGUGGGAGAGGCUCGUGGAAUUGCAGGUGUAGCGGUGAAAUGCGUAGAUAUCAGGAGGAACACCGAUGGCGAAGGCGGAUCUCUGGGCCAUUACUGACGCUGAGGAGCGAAAGCGUGGGGAGCGAACAGG